rnacentral:tRNA from 1 species
GUUUUUAUAGCUUAUUAAUUUAGAGCAUGCCAGUGAAGUUGGCAAGGAAAUAUUUAUUUAAAAAUA